UACGGAGGGUGCAAGCGUUGUCCGGAAUGAUUGGGCGUAAAGCGCACGUAGGCGGUCUUUUAAGUCUCAUGGUGAAAGGCUGGGGCUCAACCCCAAGCAGGCCGGGGAUACUGGGAGACUGGAGACAGGUAGAGGCGAGCGGAAUUCCGGGUGUAGCGGUGGAAUGCGUAGAGAUCCGGAAGAACACCGGAGGCGAAGGCGGCUCGCUGGACCUGAUCUGACGCUGAGGUGCGAAAGCGUGGGGAGCGAACAGG
rnacentral:rRNA from 1 species